rnacentral:lncRNA from 1 species
CAGUGAUGUCAUGUUUCGUCACCUUUGGUGGACUCCAACGCGUAGCCGGAGCAGUUGCAUGUCACCUCAUGCACUGACUCAUAUCAGCGUGAUCCCACGGGUGGUAGUUGGGAGCAUGAGAUCAGCAUUCUCGAAUAAGAUAAGGAGGAACCUUGCAUGUUUGUCUUCCAUGGAGUGAUGCGUUGCCAAAGUAACACUGGAGUGUGCGCUACCAAAACAUGCGCCCGCUGUGCUGUUCUGCGAUGUGCAGGUCGUUGCUGGACUAGCAGUGGUUGCCGUUGGUAUUGUGCUCGUGAGUUCGCACAGGAAUUGGAGAACCUGGUGAGCACGUCGUUCCUCGGCAAAUGGAUGGAUAGACUCAGCUCAGAAUUAAAGGAAGCAUUAGCUGAUUUUUGCAAAGACUUUCGAGUCAGCGCAUUUAACUGGGUUUCUCACAUGGACGAGUUUUUCGCACGUCAUUUACAUUUCGCACAGCGUGAAUCAGGAGAAAACGGUUGCCCGAUGCAGCUUUUAGAUGUGCCUCGUCAUUCUGGGUGUGGAAUCGCCGAACAGCCCAUUUCCUCAGCACUCGAGCGUGCUCAAUACAUAGUAUCAUAUCGGCCUUUCCGGUGUAGGGAACUACAUGGGAUAUCGAAUAAUGCGAUAUUCGGUACUGUCGUGCGACGUAUGCAGUACCUGGUGACAGACAGAGCAAGACUGGGGUGACCACAAGCGAUGCGCCAGCAGUUUGAGCAAGGAUGUCACCGAAAGCACUAGAUCUUCUCCAUAGGAAUAAUAUUGUAUUGGACGUACCAGUAGGAUUACCUGCACACCUCUGAGACACACACCGAACAAACAGUCAGAAUGGGGAUGGCGGCAUUGAUUGCAAACACCAGUGCAUAUCGUGACAUCGAUUGAGCAUUCUGAAGUUCCCCCUAAAGACACCAGGAUUCUAAGGAUACAACGCAGCGCUUUGAUGAACGGGCACCGGUGCGGUUUAGCGGUUCUUGCUGGUCCGUUUAGUGCGGCCGAGUCCUGAGAAGCACCAGUCACUGACUACGAAGGUGUUGAUGGUGCACGCAGCUGGGAGAAGAGCAGCAGGAGCCGUGCACAUAGUUGUGUACGGCUGACGGAAGUUAUGUAUUGAAGAGAGUGUUGCGUGCUACUAGACGAUGCUGUUAAGAGGGGACAGAGGGUCGUUAACCGAUGCGUGAGAAAGAGUGUCCAAAAACAUCUGUUUUUUUGCGCAGCCUACGGGAGCACCUCAGGUAAGAGCAUUUGAUCUAUGGUAUACCUCGAGGGUCUGCCGAGUUUCGGGGAGGGACGGAGGGAAGGUCAUUCUCAGUAGUGCGGGCGUGAAGAUUAGUUGCGAAGCUGAACGGAAGUAGGUAGACAGGGCUCAAAUGAAAACUACCGCAGGUCAUCCCCUUCUCAAACUGCGGCUUCAUCGCGAUGUUACGGUGCGUUUUGGAGUUGCAGUCACUGAUAGGAAGUGUGCACUUCCCGCAGUGUCUCGCUUCAACUAUUGUUGGCGAUCUACGCUGGCGUAUCUAAGGGAAGCCGCCCAGACAUAGCUGACUACCACGAGAAUUUAAAUUUGUUGUGCGAGCGUUGCCGACGCGACAACAGACGCGACUUGGGGGUCAAAUGUAUAACAUAGCAUGGGCAAACGGACGGUUAUGCCUUUCUCUUGCCGGCGUCCGCGCUACUCCCAGUGUCUCGAUUCAACGCGGAAUGCCCCAGAGAAACAAGCAUAAGGCGCACGCCACAAUGAUAUAACUCGCGUUGGGUGUGAACCGAGGCAAUGCCCGCAGUGUGUCGCUAUUAGCUCACACACAGCAGCACCCAGCUGACCUUGGGUUCUGGACCAAUCCUUCUAAAAGCCUUCUCGGAUAGCCUCAACUGUGCGCGUCCAAGACCACGAAGAAGUCCUGUGAGAGGGGAGUGGCAAUCGCAACUGCCUAUGCUUGCGCAGGUACGUCAGCGCAAGCCGUCAUGGUGCGACAUCUAGUUUGCGGACUGCCGUGGGUUCCACGUCAGGACACCGUGGGAAUACGGUUGUGGACAGCCACAGAAGGUGAGGCUUGCCUGUGUUGUUUAUUUGAUUUAUCUGUUGUGGCCAGAACUAUACGCGGUUGAAAAAGAGCCAAAAGGAUGCUGCGUCAGCAUGUCGGUGUGAGUGGAGUAGGGAAGAUAGGCGAACAUGGAUAGUCGAGUACGUCAGUGCAGUGGGGCAUAAUGUGAAAUCUGUCUUGUGGCCAGCCGCGAGCUCACAACAGUCUUGCUAUAUGCCUGUGUCCAGGCGCAGGAGGUGAGGCUCGGCUUUUCAUUCUUCGGUUUUCCUGUUGUGUGAAUGAACGGAUGCAGGUGCGCGAGAGCAUGAAGGGUGCUGUGUCAGAGUGUCAGUGACAAUGUGGUAGGAACGGUAGGUGAACAUGGUUAAUCCUCUACACCCCUGCGUGAUGACAUUGUUUCACACGUGAUUUGACAGCUGCCAUGAGCGUCGUGUGAGAACACCAUCAGAAUUUUGUAGUGAGCUGCCACGGAAGGUGAGGACCGCGUUUGAGUCCCAUUUGACUUUGUCCGCUGUGUGCAGCUCUAGAUGCGGUAGAGCGCGCGCCUAAG